GAUGAACGCUGGCGGCGUGCCUAAUACAUGCAAGUCGAGCGAACGGACGAGAAGCUUGCUUCUCUGAUGUUAGCGGCGGACGGGUGAGUAACACGUGGAUAACCUACCUAUAAGACUGGGAUAACUUCGGGAAACCGGAGCUAAUACCGGAUAAUAUUUUGAACCGCAUGGUUCAAAAGUGAAAGACGGUCUUGCUGUCACUUAUAGAUGGAUCCGCGCUGCAUUAGCUGGUUGGUAAGGUAACGGCUUACCAAGGCAACGAUGCAUAGCCGACCUGAGAGGGUGAUCGGCCACACUGGAACUGAGACACGGUCCAGACUCCUACGGGAGGCAGCAGUAGGGAAUCUUCCGCAAUGGGCGAAAGCCUGACGGAGCAACGCCGCGUGAGUGAUGAAGGUCUUCGGAUCGUAAAACUCUGUUAUUAGGGAAGAACAUAUGUGUAAGUAACUGUGCACAUCUUGACGGUACCUAAUCAGAAAGCCACGGCUAACUACGUGCCAGCAGCCGCGGUAAUACGUAGGUGGCAAGCGUUAUCCGGAAUUAUUGGGCGUAAAGCGCGCGUAGGCGGUUUUUUAAGUCUGAUGUGAAAGCCCACGGCUCAACCGUGGAGGGUCAUUGGAAACUGGAAAACUUGAGUGCAGAAGAGGAAAGUGGAAUUCCAUGUGUAGCGGUGAAAUGCGCAGAGAUAUGGAGGAACACCAGUGGCGAAGGCGACUUUCUGGUCUGUAACUGACGCUGAUGUGCGAAAGCGUGGGGAUCAAACAGGAUUAGAUACCCUGGUAGUCCACGCCGUAAACGAUGAGUGCUAAGUGUUAGGGGGUUUCCGCCCCUUAGUGCUGCAGCUAACGCAUUAAGCACUCCGCCUGGGGAGUACGACCGCAAGGUUGAAACUCAAAGGAAUUGACGGGGACCCGCACAAGCGGUGGAGCAUGUGGUUUAAUUCGAAGCAACGCGAAGAACCUUACCAAAUCUUGACAUCCUUUGACAACUCUAGAGAUAGAGCCUUCCCCUUCGGGGGACAAAGUGACAGGUGGUGCAUGGUUGUCGUCAGCUCGUGUCGUGAGAUGUUGGGUUAAGUCCCGCAACGAGCGCAACCCUUAAGCUUAGUUGCCAUCAUUAAGUUGGGCACUCUAAGUUGACUGCCGGUGACAAACCGGAGGAAGGUGGGGAUGACGUCAAAUCAUCAUGCCCCUUAUGAUUUGGGCUACACACGUGCUACAAUGGACAAUACAAAGGGCAGCGAAACCGCGAGGUCAAGCAAAUCCCAUAAAGUUGUUCUCAGUUCGGAUUGUAGUCUGCAACUCGACUACAUGAAGCUGGAAUCGCUAGUAAUCGUAGAUCAGCAUGCUACGGUAAAUACGUUCCCGGGUCU
rnacentral:rRNA from 1 species